AAGUCGUAACAAGGUUUCCGUAGGUGAACCUGCGGAAGGAUCAUUAUUGAAUUAGCAAGUAGGGUGCUGAUGCUGGCCUUUUAGGCAUGUGCUCGUGCUCGAAACCUCUUCAUCCUCUCUCUGUGCACCUUUUGUGGUCUUUGAACGUUCUCCGCUGUCAAACGCGGGUUAGGAGGCUUUCUCGAGCCUCUGGUUCGGAGACCAUGUUUUCAUAUCCAUCAGUAUGUUUUAGAAUGUCAUUUUGUAGUGGCCUCGGUCAUUAUAACCUUAUACAACUUUCAACAACGGAUCUCUUGGCUCUC
rnacentral:misc_RNA from 1 species